AAACGACUCUCGGCAACGGAUAUCUCGGCUCUCGCAUCGAUGAAGAACGUAGCGAAAUGCGAUACUUGGUGUGAAUUGCAGAAUCCCGUGAACCAUCGAGUCUUUGAACGCAAGUUGCGCCCCACGCCGUUAGGCUGAGGGCACGUCUGCCUGG
rnacentral:rRNA from 1 species